rnacentral:lncRNA from 1 species
GUGGAAGCUACAGGCAGGGCUGAGUCGGCGGCAAGGAGCAGGACCUCCUGUUAGAAAGUCCCAGAAAGAAACAAACCCUCGGGGACCACCCAGAAGGCCAGGAUCAUCCGAGGGGCCGCCCCGUGGGGUCUCCAUGGCUGCACGUGCAUCCUGAGGCCCAAGUCCUCCUCACAGUGGCUUCACUGGGUGCUGGGACUCUGCAGGGACCGAGCUGUUGGUGCUCCAGCAUUCAGGGAGCUCCUGCCUUGGGGUGGACAGACAGCAGGUAAAGAAGCCUCAUGCAGGGCAGCAGGGGAUACCCUGGGAAGGAAAGUGAGGCAGGAAACAGACACUGGGCCAGUGGCUCCUGGUGAAGGGAUGGGCACUCGGGGAUCUCGGGGAGGGUCCAGGUGAGGACAGCAAGGGCAGAGGAGCCUGUGGGAGGGGUAAGCACGAGGGAGGCCGAGGCCCUGAGAUGUGAGGCCCGCAUCCUGCUGCAGGCGCUCUGCCUCCAGCAAGAGGUGGCUCUGGGGGACAGCUCUCCAUGGGGGACAGCUCUCCAUGGGCUUGGACACCCGUGCUCCCAGACAACAGCUUCUGCCGUGCUCCCAGAUGAGAGCCAGAGCCCUGCCUAUCGGGAGGCCACACUCAUGCCCAAGACUUCUAGGCCUCAGCAGUGCUCCCAAGGGUGUGGCACCAGGUGAAGCAGGGCAGGUGGAAUGCAGGAGCAGGCAGGAAAACCCAGCUCUUCCAAGUCAGACACUGGAGAGCUCUGCAGACACGAAGACAAUGCCAUGCCUCCCCCUAAAUGCUUUUUGUUUUGGAAAAUAUAGCUGUUCGUCAUAAGGUAUUUACGUUGACGUA